rnacentral:lncRNA from 1 species
UCUUCCUUACUCUCUCUUGGCCUUUUCCCCAGAAACUUGCACAGGGAAAACUAGGAAGCAAGGCAGACAAACAGAAAAGAAAAAAGAAAGAAACAAAAGAGAAAAGAAGAAAUCUGCUUCCAAAUCAUCCUACUGGAGAUGGGGAGGGCAGAGCAGGGUCCAGAACUUCCGGCUCGGGGUCUUCCCCCAGCCCCGCAAUUGGUGAAGUAGGGACCAGGAAGCUCCAGGGUGCCUGAGGCAAGAAAGGGGCCUGUGCCCCAACCGCAGGACUGGCUUGUAUAACCACUUAAGGACCCAGAACUUUCCCCAGAGGUCUGGCUCAGCUCACCAGCUCAACCCUUCUGAUGUCCAGGCACCACUCUGGUGGCCCAAGAGGCUGAGGGGCCUUGGAGACCACAGGAGCCCGAUCCUGCCCAGGGCACAGGAGGGGAUAGACCAUGUGGCUUCAGCCCCCCCCCCCCCCAGGAAAACCCAGGGCCCCAGCGGAAGAGGUGGCUCAGGCAGGCCCAUCCCUGGCCUCACUGGCCAGAGCAUUUCCCCAGACUGGGCCAGAGGCAGGACCUCCAAGAGGGGCGAAGCCAGACCUAGGGGUCUCUGUGUGGCCUAACGGGACCUCCGCCUGGCCGGUGUCCGGGCUGGGGCCCCCUGGGCUCAGUAAGGACCCCACCCAGGGGUCUGGCUUGCAGGUACACGAAGCAGAGCUUCUGCCAUGGUGGUUGCUGGGACCCUCUGGCUGGAAAUCCCAGACUCUCGGUGCACCCCAGCUAGGACCUGGGCCUCUGGCCACAGCCCUGUGUGGCUGGGCACCUGUGUGCUGGUGCGGUUCCCCAGGGAGGGGACUCUGGUGGGCAGGGGGAGGGGGAGUGUAAUGGGUGAACAAAAUGCAUUUGAACCAAGUUGUUGGAGAGAGGACUCUCUCCUUCUUUCAUUACUAGGGGGAGGGGGUACUGGUUUUCUAGUAGGAAGGAAGCAUUAUCACCAACCUGAAAAAUAUCACGUCUUUCUCUUUCCCCAGCCCCUCGAUAAAGGCUUGUCCAUCUGCCUUCCCCACUCCACACCCAGCAUCACGUUGACAUAAGUACCUGCCAAACAGCUUCCUCAUUUGCAGUUUUAUUUAUUCUGAAGUAAUUCUCCACUGAUUUUGAAGCCUUGCUGACCCAGGUCUUCAACAGAGGAGGAAGCUCCCGGGGAGCCAGCACACCCCCCCGCCCCGGGGAGGGGGGAGCCAUCCUGGACCUGCCUUUGGCACAGAGGAUCUGGCCACGAAGACUGGUCUCGGGACGCAGUGAGCAGCGCCUUGGCCUCAUUGCCUGCCUUUCAAAAUGGCCAUUAUUUGCUCUGCAGAUACCCUGGCUGCAGGCUGGGCCCUGGCUCCCUGGCCAUCGGGGCAGCCUGCCCCCUUGGCCCACGCCCCUGAUCCCUGCCAGUUUUCUGCCCCCACCCCCAAAUGCGCACCCUGAUUUGUUACAUACAUGAAGGCUUAGCACCUUUCUCUAGCAGGAUGUAGAAAGCUGCCCUGCUUGGCGACAGAGAGGAGCGUGUCACACAGUCUCCGGCAGCGGAGAUUCUCCCGGGAGUGCCCAACUGUAACCCGGGGCACCUGGGAGCGCCUGUCCAGGAGGCCGAUCCGGUGGCCUGCGGGGAUCCCAAGGCCCUCUGGGCUGGAUCUCAGGGCGCCCGGCCUGCGCGCUCCUGCGGCUCCAAUCCGGACCCACGCAGAGGACCGGAGGACCGGGGGACGCCUCUGCUAAGAGCAGCACCCUGCCAACGUCCCAAGCGCCACUCAGGAGAGCCGGCGGUGAGACGCGCGAGCCUCCGCAGGAUGAGCCCAGUGGGGCCGCAGAGGAGGCUCCGAGAGACUCCAGGAAAAGCCGGGAGAAGCGCGCCCAGAAGCCAGGGCCGCGGGAGGGUCAGAUGCUCGAAGAAGCGUCUGGGCGGAGCGGGGGCUUGGCUCCCCCGAGCGCGGCCCGGGCGCCAGCAGCCUCGCGGGCCCGCCUGAGUUUCCCUGGGUACAGAAAUGGACCCCAGUGGCCUGGUCCGCAGUGCCGCGAGGUCGCCGUCCCCCGAGUGUCGGAGGAAGUGAAUUAUAUGCGUGUGCACACACGUAAAUAUUUUAUAAACCUCCCCUUAAUUAACCAGAUCAUUUCCAUUAUGCCUCCAAUGCGAUCCACGGCAACGGUGUGAGGCUUCUCGGGGUUUAUAAUUUCAUGUCACCAGACGGUUGCUCGGGGGCAGAGGUGUGAUCGCCGCGCCAGCUGCACUUGUAUUUAUUUGUUUUUCUCCCGUGUUCCUGUAGGGCGCCAUUAUGCAGUUUUUAAUUAGUUUGUGUUUGUAUUUCACCCGUCCCAAAUCAUGCCAUCCCGGAGCACGCCGUGUAAAUUCUCGCAGUACAGGUGUAGCUGCCUGCUCGGGGACACGGCGAAGCGCGUGUCUGACAAAUGAAAGCCGGGCGGCCGCGCAGCCGACUGUCAGCUCUCGGCAGCGGAGAGGAGCAGAUCAAAGCCAUCGGGGGACUUCGGAGCCCCCUGAGCGCCUCCGUGGCUGCGGCUCCUACUGCCAUUCGAGGGGAGCCAGGCCGAGCACAGCGUGGGGGACGAAGUGACUUUUCAUUUCGCCCCAGUCCUGGGGUCCUCGGGCCGGCGCUGGCCUCCCUCGCGCCCUGGGGUUGGUGGGUGCCCUGAGGACACCGGGACACUGCGUCAGGCUCGCACCCGGGACGCCCGGCCCUGCGCGCGUGCCUGAAACCUAGCGCCGGAGAAAGGUCAUGGUGACACUCCGAGGGGUUCUGCAGUCUUUGAGCAGAACCCGGAGCAAACAGCCUCAACUGGCGGAACCCCCAGGAUGGCAGAAUCCCAUCCUUACCCCCAGGUCGUGUCGCGUUGGUUUCUCUUUUUGAAAUGACCUCUGUGCAGGGCAUGUAAAUCUAUUCUUCUAGCCACCAGGGAGUUAUUUUAAAGCCUUUUUUUUUUUCCCUUAGAAUAAGAGAUUGUUCAUCUUUAACUAGACCACAUAGAAAUUAUGAUUCAACUGCAGUGUGUAUUUAAUUAGAGUAAUCUCACUUGAAUUUAAUUACCUAAUGAAUUAUUUGUUUAAAAG